CGGGCCAAGUCCCUUGGAACAGGGUGCCCAGGAGGGUGAGAGCCCCGUCCAGGCCCGGGCCGCCCCCGCCGCCGGAAGCCCCUUCGAAGAGUCGGGCUGUUUGGGAAUGCAGCUCCAAGCGGGAGGUAAACUCCUUCCAAGGCUAAACACCGGCCGGAGACCGAUAGCGCACAAGUAGAGUGAUCGAAAGAUGAAAAGCACUUUGGAAAGAGAGUCAAACAGCACGUGAAAUUGUUGAAAGGGAAGCUUUUACCGCCAGACCGGCCGCGGUCGCUCGCAUCCACGCCCCUGCGCGUGGUGCAUCCUUCCGCGGUAGGCCAGCGCCGGCCCGGGCGGUCGGAUAAAGGUCCCCGGAACGUGGCCCCCCAACCUCGGGGGGUGUUAUAGCCGGGGGUGCAAUGCGGCCAGCCCGGGCCGAGGCCCGCGUUCGCUAGGGUGCUGGCGUAAUGGCUGUAAAAGGCCCGUCUUGAAACACGGCCCAGUAAGUACCCCGAGAAGAGGGCCCAGCAGGCCCCAACUUCUAGGUGUAGAUCCGCUAACGUAGUGCGCGCCGCAGAGGAGUCUAACAUCUGUGCGAGUGUUUGGGCGGACAAACCCACACGCGUAAUAAAAGUGAACGGAGGUGGGAACCCCUUGAAACGGGCGCACCAUCGACCGAUCCUGAUGUACUCGGAUGGAUUUGAGUAAGAGCAUUCAUGUUGGGACCCGAAAGAUGGUGAACUAUACACGGACAGGGCGAAGCCAGAGGAAACUCUGGUGGAGGCUCGCAGCGGUUCUGACGUGCAAAUCGAUCGUCAAAUCUAUGUAUAGGGGCGAAAGACCAAUCGAACCAUCUAGUAGCUGGUUCCUGCCGAAGUU
rnacentral:rRNA from 1 species